rnacentral:lncRNA from 1 species
GGGGGUUUACAUAUACUGAUAAUUGUUGUUAUAAUUAUUAUUAAUAAUGAAAAUUGAGAAGGAUUUUUUGAUUGCAAAAAUCCAUACUGAACUGAUUGGUUAUAUAUCAUAUAUCAAGUUGUAUUUUCUUAUGUCAUUAGGAAACCAAAAUUGGGAGAUUCAAAUCCAAGAAUCAUUCAUGCAUUCUAAGGCAAUAGUUACUGGGUCCUAUUUUCUGAAAGUUGAAUUUUGUAUUUUGCGAAUGAAAAUCCACAUUUGAUUUUUCAAUAGAAAGGUAAGAGAAAGUUUUGAACAUUAUGAAUUUGGAGAUAGACUCAAUCGAAAUUGAAAGGAUGAAUCAAACCCAAUCAAAAGGGAAGAAGGAUUAGGAUUUCUUUGACUUUUAGGAAAAAUUAAGGAAAACAGAACUCAAGGUGCAAGUACAAUAAAAAAGCAGUUCAGUAAUCCGGGAAAGUUUUCAUCUAUUUUGUAUUUGUAGCAUUUUGGCGACAUGGCCGAGUGGUAAGGCAGAGGACUGCAAAUCCUUUUUUCCCCAGUUCAAAUCCGGGUGUCGCCUGAUCAACAAAAAACUGGAAAUCUCUUUUUUUCUUCUGUUGAUAUAACCCGCCGAAUGAUUCGCCAGCAGAAGCAGAGAAAGCAGACUGUUGAUACUUGUUUUGGUCUGGGUGUUUUUAGAAAAAAUUGUAAAUAUCCUUGCAUUGCAUAUUUAGGCUUAGCUUUCAAGUAAAUAUUCGAAUGCUCGAGGGGCUAUCAAGACUUCGCAAUUACCUUCUACUACAAAUCAAAAUUUUCUAUUAUUAAUCCAUUGUAUAAUGACUGGACCUUGGAGAGCCCGAUAGGAAAUCGAAAUAGUUGUGGAAGGGGGCGGAAGAUACUUUAUUAUAUACGAGGAACUCACGAAAAUAUCUCAGUGCUCAAGCAUCCAAUCAAUUCAAAUGAGGGUCAACAAAAAAAGAAUAGGACCUAUUAUUCCUACAUGUUCCAUUAGUAACAUUCCCUUGAGAUGUUACUGCGGAUUUUGCUUGGGUUUAAUCUUUCCCGAUUAUAAAUCAUAUAGAAAUUUCUUAUAAAAUGAGCGAAUUUAUUGGAUUGGUUUAUUAAUAGUCUUCGUUCUUUUUGACUCUGCGCCAUUGAUUCUACUAUUAUUAGUGAGGAAUAAUGGAACAAUUCCUUUAUAUUUAUAGAGAUAGGGGACAUAAUUCAUAUGGAUAUAGUAAGUCUUGCUUGGGCUGCUUUAAUGGUAGUCUUUACUUUUUCCCUUUCACUCGUAGUGUGGGGAAGGAGUGGACUCUAGGGGUUCUGCUAAUUGAGUUAAGGAAGCAAACUGUAUCAUUAUCAAUUGCUUUCUAGAUGGUUCUGCAACACGUUUGGAACAAAAUAAAAAUAUCUUCAUUUUGAAAUUCCAUUGGACUCGACUGGAGUAAUGUAUUAUAGGAAUCAGCCUCUUUCAAUCAAAGAGCUAUUUCAACGAUUCCCAUGUUUGUAGUUCGAAAGGAAAAGGAUCCCAGGAAAUUUAUUCGAACCUAAUUCUUACUAAAUUUUCUAUUCCAAUCAAUGGCCUCUUCCUAGGUGAUACUGAGGAGGGCCGGACCCGUUUUUUAUUUGGUUCUCUCUUUACUGUUCAAAGAAAAAGUGGUUUUGUUAAGUGUAUACGCACUUUGUAUGAGAAAGAAAGGAUAUAAACAUAGUGGUUGUCUAACGAGAUACUAUUUAGAAUAAGAUCGUCAGGUGAGUCACAUAUUGCGCAUUUACCUUUCGAAUUUUGGAAAUUGGAUUUAGACUUUAUCGACUUAUUUCAUAUCAUGGUUCAGGCCUUAAAAAUCAGUGAGGUUUACUCUUCCUUUUCGAUGCCCGUGGAACUACUGUCAAUGGUUUACUUCUUAGGAAUGUUAAAAAAAAAAAAGAUUACUACGUGAUUUUUUGAAUAUGCCUAUAUCUAUCGCUUUUGCUUCAUUGAUUUGAUUCUCUCAAUAGAUACUGAGAUUCAUAUUGGAAAUCAAAAAUAUAGUAAUUCAAACUAUAAGACAUAGGAGUAAUUCAGAUUGAUCAGAACAAAUAGAUAUAGCAAAUAAAUGGAAUUGGAUGCUAUGUCAAUCCCAUAUAUGGAAUUGAUAUUCACAUAUAUCAAGAUAAUAUUGUAGAUUGAUAUAUAGAUCCAUAUCAAAUGCAGCCUCUAUCUUUAUUUUAUUCCAGGGGGCAGCUUUAUAACAAGAAUCUAACUAAUAAAUAGUAUGGUAGAAAGAAAUAGAUGAAUCUUUCUACCAUACUAUCUAUCUAUUAGAAUACUGCCGAUUCUAGUCCACUCAUUUCAUUUAAGACAUGAAAUUGGAAUCUUUUUCAUUUUAUUUCGUCAAUUUUGGCUAAGAACUCAGAAGUCAAGUUUCAUUCAAAUUAGUUAAUAAUUAAUCGUUUUGACUGACUGUUUUUACAUAAAUGAUAAGUAGAAAAGCGGUAGGAACUAGAAUAAAUAGUGCAGUAGCAAUAAAUGCAAGAAUAUUUACUUCCAUAAUCUCAUCGGUUUUUUACUUCGCAAUAACUCGGGAUUUAAUCCCAUAGAGAUGAUAAAUCUUUGGCCUGUAAAUUCAAUGAAUGAAUAUUACCUCUCGAUGAUCUUGAAUCAGAUCAAUAUCAUGAAUAACAAUAUCUGAACUAUCAAAUAAAUUCGUCGUCGAGAAUUGAAUAGUAUAACAUAGGAAGUUCUUUUAUCCAUACCGCCCCAAACUCGGAUUGCUGACCUAACCCAAAAUUCCUUUAUUUAUUUAUCAUUUUUUAUUAUCUGUUCUUUUUUUCUCUCUAAUCUAUCUAGUUCCUUCUUGUACAAUCAUCUGAUGAAGUCUCAUCAAAUAGCUCUUCCACUUCCAGUGGUCACAUAGUUACAAACCCAAACAAACAAUAAAAGCUAAAUGGAAAAAGAAAGGAGUUUAGAACGAAACUAUUUUUGACUUGGAAGACAAAGAAGUGUGAUAAAGAUGAGACCGUAUAAAAUGAAUAUUCAUCAAAUUGACUAUUUUCCGAUUUGUUCGUUCGUCGAUGGGGCCUUAAAACAAAAUGAAAAAUAGGAAAAAUGAUUCAUUCGCCUUUCUAAGAGGAGUAGGAUCUUUGGUUGAUCUGUCCUUCCCCCUCCUUUCUUCGUCGAUUAUUAGCCCCGGGACACCUAUACCAAAAGCUCAGUGUGCAAUUUGCAUGAAAUCUAUUUUGCAACUUCAAACUAGUAAGUCAGGUUCCAUAAAUCCGUAGCCAGAAAAAGAAAUUGUUUUUUUUUUUUUUUGUUUUUUCUGGAAAGUAUUUUCUUAUAUUCAAUUUUGUAUUGGACAACAAAGGAAUUCCUUUUGUGUAUGCGCGCCUCAAAAAAGUAUAGUACUCGAUUCCAUUACAUGCAUCGGGGGCAAUCGAAAAAGCCAGCAUUUCUUGGAAUACUGACUAUAAUGCUACCAAUAAUUGUACUAAUCCAACCGCAUAUGUCUUUCUCCUACCAAAAGGAAAGAAAAAAGAAAUAAGGAUUUCCCCUUUGCUUUGACAAUGGAAUUCUUCCCCCGGUCCCCUUCAGAAAAAGGGAGAGAUUUUUUGAUAUAUUUAUUGGAUCCGUCGGGACUGACGGGGCUCGAACCCGCAGCUUCCGCCUUGACAGGGCGGUGCUCUGACCAAUUGAACUACAAUCCCAGGGAAAUACGGGAUCUAGCAGAAAAUUUGAUUCUUUUUUAUCUCCGGAUCGGGUAUUUCUGAAGUACAAAGGGAGUUAUAUCAUCUCAUGGCGGAUUGGCGAAUUAUUGGGCCGAGCUGGAUUUGAACCAGCGUAGACAUAUUGCCAACGAAUUUACAGUCCGUCCCCAUUAACCGCUCGGGCAUCGACCCAGGAAGAAUCAAUUUUCAACUUAUUGGUAAUCCAUGAUCAAUUUCCUUUCGUAGUACCCUACCCCCAGGGGAAUUCGAAUCCCCGCUGCCUCCUUGAAAGAGAGAUGUCCUAAACCACUAGACGAUGGGGGCCCGCUUGACCAACGGCCAUCAUACUAUGAUGAUAGUAUGAUCCGUUUUUUAAAAUUGUCAAUAUAAUCAAAUGAUUCUAGCCGAGGGAUCUUUCCCCCCUUCAGAAUUGCAUAGAAUUGUUUUUUAUUCGUCAUUGACGAAUUAUUCAUUAGAAUCGACAUUAGAAAUCUAGUAGUAGUAUUUUUUUUUAAUUAUUUCAAUUGAAUUUAUUUCUAUUCGAGUCGGUCUUGAAACAAUUCAUUGCAUUUUCUCCUAUACUUCCUAGGUAAAUCCAUUUUAUUAUUCAACAAUGAGCCACUAGACACUAUGUAUCUACUGCACGUACUUAAUGCAUAUAUACUUAUGUUUAUAAUAUAAGUACAUAUAGAUAUUUUAUCCACAUAGUGAAUAAUUCCGGAAUUAAAUAAAAAAGGCCCUUUUAACUCAGUGGUAGAGUAACGCCAUGGUAAGGCGUAAGUCAUCGGUUCAAAUCCGAUAAGGGGCUUUGUAAAACCCCAAUCUAGUAUUCAUAUUUGAUGGGAGAAUUUUCUUUUUAUUUGUAAUAAAAAAAGUAACUAACUGGAUAAUACAUUAUCAUUAUACUUAGUUAUAAAGUUGAACAUUUGUUUAGUCAAUUUUCAUUAGUAUGAAUUUAGGAAUAAUGAAAAGUCACUUCUUGAAUCACCGAAUAUUCCUAUUUUCCAUUAUACCAACCAAAUCGAUUCGAAAGGUUAGAAAUCAACAAAAGAAAAAGUAAAAAGUAAGUGGACCUGACCUAUUGAAUCAUGACUAUAUCCGCUAUUCUGAUAUUAAAAUUCGAUAGAGAUGAAAUUGGAGCAGUUGAUUUUUUUUAUUUCAUUUUUUUGUUUUGGACUCCACAAGAAUUUGUCGAUAUUUCCGAUUAAAUCUUCUUGUUACUAGAUUUUCUAUAGGAAAAAUUAUCGGAAUAAUUUGUUAUUCCUUUCCUCUACAGAGAAACCUUUCUUCCAAGGCACACCAUAAGAGCCAUUUAUUAUUUUUCUUUGAUUCUAGAUCAA